GACAGUAGCUAGCUCUCUGCAACUCUCACAUGGGCGCCCACUAAAUAUAAGCAGGGCUACACCCAGUCAGUACCUGGAUGGGAGACCAAAUGCACAAGCUAGGUUGCUGCUGGAA
rnacentral:rRNA from 1 species